GGCGCUGUAGUGUAGAGGUUAUCACGCGAGAUUCUGAUAAUAUCUGGUGGCAUAGAUUUCUCGAAACCCAGGUUCGAGUCCUGGCAGUGCCU